GUCGGAGCUGCAGGUGAGAAGAGUCAGCAGAGUUUUACUCACCGUGUGGAUUUUCAUUCCUUCUAAUGCUGUUAGCGGUGUGCGUCCAUGAGACUAAACCACACCAUCACUCACCACACGGCAUAUAGCAUUUUACAGCCUGUUAAAUCCCCUCACUCACAUUAUGGAUGUGUGCUUCGGAUUCUUGCUAAAUAAAUGAGUGAACG